CAAAGCGCGCUGGUAAUUAGCACACGGCCUUCCAUAGGCCGCCUUUCCCGGACAGACCCCAGGCACCCCGGGCUCUCUGGACACCCAGGGCUCUGCGAGUCCUAGUUACGACACUGCGUAACUGGCAAAGGUCAGAGCCUGCCUCGGGGACCCGUGGGCGGUGAAGCCGCCCCACCCUGCAAGCCGCUGGAACACUCAGCGUUUGUGUCGGCGCGGUGGCUCCUACUGCUGAUCUCGGGCCGCGGGGGCGGGUCCCAGGAGAAUGGGUCUGCCGGGGAGGGGAGGUUGUGCCUGAGAGGGAGGUGGGUUCUGCCUUGUAAGGGGUGUGCGUCCCGGAGGUGCGUCUGUCAGGAUGGGGGGCGGUCUGCACGGCGGGGGGGGCUGCCGGAAAGCGGGAGUUUGGAUGGGAGGGGAGGGCGAGGGGAGGGCAAGGGGCGGGCGCGCGGAGGGACGGGACAGAUGCGGCAGGUGCCAUGCCCACCCCCAACUCCGCAGACGCGCGCGCGAGCCGGAGCGCGGGGACCCUGCGCAGGUCCGGGCGGCGGCUGCAGAGAGCCGAGCGGAGGCGUCUGGCUGCCAGAUCGGCCCGGGCUGACAUGGGGGCGUUCCAGGCGAGACUGGCGUGCGUUCUGUGUCUGUCUUCAGCCUCGUGGAUGGCGGCCGCGCUCCCAGGACGCAACCCUUUCAGGUGUGUGGGCACAGGCACGGGUGGAGAGGCGCCUCGUUCUGCGGGAAGUGUGUCUGGCCCG
rnacentral:lncRNA from 1 species